rnacentral:rRNA from 1 species
UACAGAGGUCCCGAGCGUUGUUCGGAUUCACUGGGCGUAAAGGGUGCGUAGGUGGCCUAAAAAGUUUGAUGUGAAAGCUCAGGGCUUAACCCUGAAAUGGCAUUGAAUACUGUUGGGCUGGAGGUUUGGAGGGGGGACUGGAAUUCUUGGUGUAGCAGUGAAAUGCGUAGAUAUCAAGAGGAACACCAGUGGCGAAGGCGGGUCUCUGGACAGUUCCUGACACUGAGGCACGAAGGCCAGGGGAGCAAACGGG